rnacentral:rRNA from 1 species
GAUGAACGCUGGCGGCGUGCUUAACACAUGCAAGUCGAGCGGACCACUUCGGUGGUCAGCGGCGGACGGGUGAGUAACACGUGGGCAACCUGCCUGUAAGACUGGGAUAACACCGGGAAACCGGUGCUAAUACCGGAUAAUCCUUUCCUUCACAUGAAGGAAAGCUGAAAGACGGUUUCGGCUGUCACUUACAGAUGGGCCCGCGGCGCAUUAGCUAGUUGGUGAGGUAACGGCGCACCAAGGCAACGAUGCGUAGCCGACCUGAGAGGGUGGUCGGCCACACUGGGACUGAGAAACGGCCCAGACUCCUACGGGGGGCAGCAGUAGGGAAUCUUCCGCAAUGGACGAAAGUCUGACGGAGCAACGCCGCGUGAGCGAUGAAGGCCUUCGGGUCGUAAAGCUCUGUUGUCAGGGAAGAACAAGUACCGGAGUAACUGCCGGUACCUUGACGGUACCUGACCAGAAAGCCACGGCUAACUACGUGCCAGCAGCCGCCGCGGUAA